GCAGAAACUAAGACAAUUGGAUUGCAUUUCUGACACCUUCUUCUAAUCUUGUCCUCCCCCAUAACCUGGUGUCUCUCAUUAGAACUUCUGUCCAUCUUCAUGAGUUCCAUGCCCAGUUGAAUACCAGCAUUUUCACCUGACUGUUGCAACUGUGCCUCCUGUACCCAGAUCUGUCACCCUCCUUUCCUUUUUGCACAACAGCCAAACUGAUUUUCCAAAGCACAAGACCUAUCGUUCCUCUGCUUUGAUGCUUUUAAUGAAGCAGUCUGCAAGCUCUUUAGACUGUGACUCACAAUGAGAAGUAAAUUUAACAUCACCACCCAACAAGUAUAUAUAUAUAUAAACAAACUUUGCAUUUUUCUAUUCAGUCUUAUCCUAUUCUAUUAUGGUCUCUUUUGUUGAAAAAGUAGUGCUGGCAGAAACCCAAUAAAAGUGAUUUCAGAGCUAACUAAUAGAUGAGAGCCUACAGUGGGAAAAACUUUGCUUUUUAGGAUUUUUUACCUCUACACUGAGCAUGAUGGAGCUUCUCAUGCUCUGUUCCCUGCUCAUCUGGGUAGCCCCGUCGUGUCCCCUGUAAUUUGAUGCCCCCCCCCCACUUCUGAACCUCUUAGUGUCCCAGGGCAAUACUGUUCUCCUUUUCCUUUGUCCCUACUCUCUACACUCCACACCCCCUCUAGCAGGUUAAUCCUUCCAGUGCCAGCUUUAAUGUCACUUCCUGCAGGAGGUGUAACCCUAG
rnacentral:lncRNA from 1 species